UCUGUGUGUGACAUGUUUUAGCUUUCUACAAAAAGGGAAUAAAGGGGAAGCAGCUUCAGCUAGCCUUGGAAAAGCUAUUUAGCUUGCAUAUUGUGAAACUGUCUUCCCUAGCUAGUUACUGCCAUUUUAUAACACUGCAGCAUAUUGGAUCAAAGACUAUAACUGCCACCUCCUGUUUACAAUGGGCUGGAGCAGUCAUAGAAUUGUCAGGGCUACUUUCUGCCUCGGUGUGAUUGGAAACAAGACUGAAAACGGUACCUUAUCAAGAAGAUGUGCAUAAACCUCUGAAUUUGGGUUUUCAAGAGACAAAAGAAACACAAACAAGAAACAUGGAUACUCACCAUGUUCUUGUAACACCAGCUAAGUGGGCUUUGACAUAUGCUGAGAUCAGAGAGCAAGAUGCAUGCUGCAUCAUGGGACCAAGGAUCUUGUGAGGAUAUUUGGCAUCAAUAAUAUACCAUCUGUAUGUGAUUUAAAUCACUCUGAAAGGACCAACCCUUUUUCUUACUUAUUUUAUGGUUUUUUAUUGAAAGGCUGACUUGUAUAUGCAAGCAUCAGUUUGUGGACUCAGUGAUGACUUAAGGACUAUUGUCUAGAGCUGCUAAGGGUUUUUUGCAGUCUGUGCAGGUGCCCUUUUUCCUUCAUGGUCUCCUACAUCCAACUAGAACUGUUUAUAUUGCUAGUUCUGGCAGUUUCUGAUUUGAGGAUGAUGAUGAUUGUGCAUCCAUCUCCAUCUGCAUACUGGGUGUGUAAUAUUUAAAGGGAUUAAGCUUUGACAAUACUGUUUCCUUAGGCCUCACAAUACUAUGUAAAAUAAAGGAAAUAAAGGAGUGUGAACUAUGUGGUACCUUG